rnacentral:lncRNA from 1 species
CACUUUUGUUUCUUUUCUUUUUUUUUUUUUUCCUUUUUUUGAGACGGAGUCUCCCUCUGUCGCCCAGGCUGGAGUGCAGUGGCGCGAUCUCGGCUCACUGCAACGUCUGCCUCCUGGGUUCAGGUGAUUCUCCUGCCUCAGCCUCCCGAGUAGCUGGGAUUGCAGGUGCGCGCCACCACGCCUGGAUGAUUUUUGUUAUUUUUAGUAGAGACAGCGUUUCGCCAUGUUGGCCCAGGCUAGUCUCGAACUCCGGACCUCAGGUGAUCCGCCCGCCUCGGCCUCCCAAAGUGCUGGGAUUACAGGCGUGAGCCACCGCACCCGGCUGAGACCCUAUCUUUUAACCAGCCUGGGCGGCAGAGCGAGACUCUGUCUCAAAACAAAACCAAACAUAAGAAUUCGUAAAAGCGAGUGCCUAGGCGAAGCUAAUGUGCCUCAAAGUCCUGGGUAAGUAGAGGCCCUGGAGACCCGUCCGCAUCCUCUGGCAGUGGCCUUGGAACCACCGAAGGGAUUCAGCCGAAGGGCCGCGUUCCCGGCAGGCGUCUUUAUUGUGUUGAUUACGUAGAUGGCGUAGAUGACGUAGAUGACGUUCAGCACCACAAACGAAGAGCCGAGGCACAGAGUGGGGCCUUGGAUUCAUGAGAUGGGGAUGGAGCAGAAAUGAGAAUUCGGAGUCCAUGAAACCCCCACAAAGACUCCUGCACGGCCCGACUCGGACACUUUGCAAUCUGCUGGUUGAGGGGGAUGGUGUGAACUCAGGGAACAGCCUGAGAUCGCGCCGCUGCACUCCAGCCUGGGCAACAGAGCAAGACCCUGUUUCAAAAACAAAAAAUAACACUAAGCAAUUAACAGGACUAGACUCAGAGGUGAUCGAGAAAUUGAAACAGGCUGGAAAUUUAAAUUAACUGUGAUUAAUAUGUGGAGGUCUCUUGUACGAAAGGUGAACAAUAUGCAUGAGGAGGAAACUCAUCAAAUUAUAAGAAAGGAAGAACGCUGAUAACAGGUAAUUUUUCUGAUGGGGCAGCAGUAGGAUCAACACAGCUGAGAAAAAUAGGAAUUACCCACGUUGGAAAAUAAAGAAGAAAAAAAGUUUUUUUUUAAAAAAAGCAUCCAAGAACUGUGGGAAAAUAUCAAAUGAUAUCAUAUGCAUGUAAUAGGACUCCCAAAAGAAGAAGAAAGAACAAAUCAUAAAAAAUGUUUGAAGAGAAAAUUACCAAUAAUUUUCCCAAAAUAAUGAAAGACCUGAGCUCAGAGCACACACAAAACUUGAUAAAUAUGAGCCCCUGCCUGACACAUGCAGUGUAUUCAAACUGUGGAAAUCAGAGAGAAAACCAUGAAGAUGGCCGGAGGAAAAAGAUACGUUAAAUACAGUAACAAAGAAUCGCAGCGUGUGUCUCUCUUCACCAUACCGCACGGGUCCUGCUCGCUGACCCAGCCCGCCUGCUGUCCAGGGCUUCCUCUGUCUCUGCUCUGGGACCUCCCCAUGGCCACGCAUUCCGCCGCAUGGUCUGGAUCCCUCGCGGUGUCUGGGUUCAGCCAUGCUCAGCCUCUGUGUCGGUCACCAGCCUAGAAACCCUGGAGCACCCCGGGCCGGAACCCUUCCCUCAGAUCUGUCGUGAGUUCCCUUUCAGAGAUCAAGCCCAGCCUGGCUCAGUCUUGCACCCCUUGGGAUCCACGGCCUGUAUAGUUACCCUAAAAUAAACACAACACAAAACCAGGGCUCUCAAAUGUCUGCUUUUCCUCCUGGGCCCCUGAGCUCUGACCCUGCCUGGCUGCACAGACUGUGACAAAGAGAGUAUUCAGGGGCCUC